GAACGCACCUUGCACCCUUUGGCAUUCCGAAGGGCAUGCCUGUUUGAGUAUCAUGAACACCUCAACUCUCAUGGCUUGCCAUGAUGAGCUUGGACUUUGGGGGUCUUGUCGGCCUGCGGUCGGCUCCUCUCAAAUGGAUCAGCUUGCCAGUGUUUGGUGGCGUCACAGGUGUGAUAACUAUCUGCGCUUGUGGUUUCCCAUCAGAUAACCUUCAGCGAUGGAGGUUCACUGGGGCUUACAAAAGGUCUCUCCUCGGUGAGGACAGCUCUUUGAAUGUUUGAUCUCAAAUCAGGUAGGACUACCCGCUGAACUUAAG
rnacentral:misc_RNA from 1 species